CGUGCACGCUUUCGUGCGUGCGUGAUCGCGUGCGCGUGUACGUGCAUGUGUGCGUGUGUGCGUGCGUGUGUGUGUGCGUGCGUGUGGAAACCCCAAAACUAUUUGAUUCCGAUGCGUACAUUUUAAUCCGCUACGGCUACAAAGUCCAUGCAUUUUUGAUCUCGCUACCUGAGAGACAACACAACCAUUGGCAUUGGCAUCUUUGCCAUCGGCUCUGCUGUUGGGGGUAUUAAAGAGACACAGGAUCUAAGCAAACGUGCGUGUGAUAUGUUGCACAUUUAUUUCUAAUUCAGCUAGCGGACGCAAGUGGAAACAACAUUUUGAAUUGAAUUCAUACAAAAGAGGAUCCUGGAUUUGUUUAUUACGGUGCGCGUAUGGUGCUGCACCUGUCCGUCCAGAAUCUGAUGGCUCGUUGGUUUGGAGUACAGUGAACCCUCUCUUAUUUGACACCUCUCCAAUUUGAAAAACCUCUCUUAUUUGAACAUUUUGCACAGUCCCUUGAUUUCCAAUACAUUUUUGUUCCUCUAAUUUGGAAAACCUCUGAAAUCUGUGUCCCUCUUAUUUGAGUAUGGUGUUGCCAUGGUUAUUGAAAGAUGUAUGCUCAAAUUAGCGAUUCUGUUCGCAGUUUCCUAUAGCAACAGUUAAGGCUGCAUACUAAAUGUUCUGUCUUUUUCUUGUCUUGUAUGGACCUUUCAUUCACUUUCAACCUCUGUAAUUUGAAAACCCCUCUUAUUCCCGCUUGGCAAAGAGUAACUCAUUUUGAUGCCUCUCGCUACCCCUGGCCCUAGUUUUGAAGGAAUCAUGCGACACACUCGCACUCCACUACCCCAUCCCAUGGAAAAACGCUCCCACCAUCGAGGUGUUGACCAAAAUUUCGCUGUGUGCAUGAGACACACACUCGCACUCCUCCAGCCCUCCACAGCUGAACGCUCCCACCGUUACGAAUUUGCGAGAAUUUUUGCUCUGAGCGUGAGACCCUGAAGCGCCAGAGAUGACACUAUGUGUAAAGACGAUCAUUAUUCGAUAUGGUCAAAAUGCGUCGUUUGUCGUUUCAUUUAUCUGGUAAUGAUGUUUUCACUUCAUCAAAAUUUUAAACAUUAACAACUAGGCUGAUAACAAUAAUUGAAAUGUAAAUCAGAAUAAAUUAAAUUCAUUUGAAGUAAAAUAAAUACCAUUAUACUCUAUUUUGACCAAAUGAUCAACACUUGUACAUAGUGCCAUUUACUUUGUGUUCUUCACUUUCGCGCUGUGUUGUGAUCGUUCGAAACUCAUUGCCAGAACGAAUGCAAAUUUCAUUUGCGAAGGAUCGGUGCCGGAAGAUGCAGUGAAAAUUAUAAAAUGUUUAUAGAAAAGUGGUUAAGUAAAACGUGAAAGAUGUAAACGCAGGCGUAACUGCAGUUUGUUUUGUUACAUUAUCUACGGCUAUUUCAUUACCAAAGCACCUGAUAACCGAUCAAAGAAGGUGAAUCGGGCUUACAGAGUCGCCGUUUAACUUCAAAUAUCUUCGUGAUCGGAAAACGCAUGAAACAACAAGUGUUUUUCUUCCAACAGCACGCGCCAUCGGUGGAGCAAGCAGCCAACGAUUUGAUCGCCAGUACGCGCCAUCAAGAAUUGAUAUUUUGCCAAACAGUACUGUGAAUAAAAAACUGCACACUUCCCCCUGAGCAAAGCGACGGAAGAAAUCAUUCCCUUUCGCGCAUUUUCUCAUGCUUUCUUUUUCCCUCCUACGGCAAAUUUGUCAAGCAGCGUUUCGAGCUACCCGUCCCUGGCUCUGCCUCAUACCCCUCGCCUGAGCGCGCUGUCGAAGGUUUAGAUGUGUUGGUGCGUCAGACGGCCAAUAGCUGUCAGCCGUCGUCCGUGCUUUUUCCCUCCAUAGCGCUAUCUCUUUCACGCGUAUGGUCAAUGCUCGCGAGCUGUUGUGGCGCUCAAAAAAACCGUUAACAAACAUUGCGGCGAUGAAGUUGCAUUUUCACAAAUCAAACCAAAAAC